UACGGGAGGAUCCAAGCGUUAUCCGGAAUCAUUGGGUUUAAAGGGUCCGUAGGCGGUUUGGUAAGUCAGUGGUGAAAGCCCAUCGCUCAACGGUGGAACGGCCAUUGAUACUGCCAGACUUGAAUUGUUAGGAAGUAACUAGAAUAUGUAGUGUAGCGGUGAAAUGCUUAGAGAUUACAUGGAAUACCAAUUGCGAAGGCAGGUUACUACUAAUGGAUUGACGCUGAUGGACGAAAGCGUGGGUAGCGAACAGG
rnacentral:rRNA from 1 species